GAAGGUACAGCUCAGUGGUAGAGCGCAUGCUUUGCAUGCAUUAAGUCCUGGGUUCAGUCCCCAGGACCUCCG
rnacentral:tRNA from 1 species